GACGAAUAAGAAAUAAAUGAUAUGAUCUGAACAUGUGUGCCCCUAUAUGGAUUACAUGUGUACUUCGAAUCGGGCAAUAUGAGAUAUGACGUGAUGUGAUGGAAAUAUGAACUGAAUAAUCGUGCAAGACAAUAAAUUAUAUGAUUGGAAAUGUGAACUCCGUGAGAAUUAUGUGUGCGCUCGAAUACGAGCUAUAUAAAUGUUAGAACCGAAUGAUGAUUCAGAAAUGAAAUGGAAAAUGGGAAUGUAUGCUCUAAGCGAGCUGUAUAGUAUAUGAUAAGAUAUGUCUAAAAAUAUGAGUUUGAAAUUGAGCUAUAUGAUAUAAAAUGGUAUUCUGGUUGAAAGUGUUGUCUGUGAUCUGUAAAUGUGUUAGUUAUGGAUAAGAAUGAGUUUUGAAAAUAAAUAUGGUUGUUGAUGAAUACUGACUUGAUAUUUGAAUUAUGUUGUGAUUUGGUGGUUUGAUUUGAUAAUCUGUGAUUAACAUUGUAUCUUGUUGGUUUUGGGGAAGCACUGGUUAUAGAGAAAACGCUGCCCAAUUUUUGCUAGAAAUUGAUCAGAUAAAUUAAUACGAAGUUGUGGUAAAUAAACUGAUAAGUGAUAAUACAUGAAGAGAAUGAUGUUACAUGAUGACUUAAGAAAGGAAAAAGGGAAAAGAUAAGAAGUGUUGUGAAUGAUAAUAAAGGAAAACGUAAUGAAAUGAUGAUAUGUGGAAAGUGAAAUGCACCCUUCGUCGGCUAUAAGUGCCCGAAUAGGGACUAUGCAAUUGGGACUAUACAAUAUAUGAUGAGUAUGUGAAAUAUACAUAUGCGUGAUGAAUAUGAUAUGUGCGCCUCAUGUGGACAAAGAAAAGAUGCAAAUAACAUGGAAAUUACUAUGUAAAGAAAUGAUAAUGUGACAAAUGUGCUUGAAAUAUAUUAGAGAUAAUGAUAAUAUUAUUAUGUGAUCGCAAAAUGUUGCUAUGUGUUAAGAUGUGAUUAUGUGAUUUUGUAUGUCAUUCUGUGUUUGGUUAUGGAAGUGAGGAUACGCUAUGUAGAUGAGGAUAUAGGAUGUCGUGGAAUGGCAUACGUAUAUGCGACGCUUAUAGGAAUGAUGUAAACCCGAGGGAAUUUCGAGGACGAAAUUCCUUUUAGGGGGGAUGAGUUGUAACAUCCCGAAUUAUAGGCACCAAUAAAAGGUUUGGAUAUGUGGUGAGGAAUAGUAGUUAAGUUAAACCGUAAGGUAUAAAUUUGAUACGAAAUGCCGAUUAGUCAAUUUUCGGAAAUUUCUUUUGUCCGUGUAAAAUCAUAAAUCGAAGCUAAGGGGUAAUAAUUUUAUAAAUUACAAAUUAUGGCCUAGAAUAAUUGUUGAUAAUGUGAGGAAUUGUUUUGGGCCAUUUGAAGGUAAUUAAAAAAAUUUCUAUCGCCGAUAAUUUCAGUUUUUAACGAAAACGAUCGGCGAAACUUUUGAAGAUAUAGACAGGAAUAAUUUUGCCUUGAACUAGAAUUUAAAUGCUAAAUGAUGAUAUAAAGAGUUCCUAAAUGUGAUAUCAUAUGAUAGGGCAAUAAAAUGUUACAAGAUAAUUAAUUUAUUUAAAAACUAACUAAAUAAUUAAAUAAUGAUUAGAAUUCUCUAGAGAAUUCUUUUGUCUAUCAUCAACUCCAAGCCCCCCCUCAUUUCAGCCACAAGCACGUCCUCCCCCUCUCCAUGGAAGACCAAAAGCUUAAGCUUUUUAAUUUCCAAAUAUUUGUCAUUUAAUCGGUAAAUCGAUCGGGUAAUCUUGUAUCCGCCAGCAAAUCGAGCGAAGGAGCAUAUAGUGCGUUUUGAUCACAAAGGAGUGGAUUUAGAGGGUAGAGAAGUAUCAAGGUGAAAUAGGCUUAUGUUCAUAAGCCUGCGAGGUUAGAGUCGACAUUAUGUCAGUGGUGUUGCGCAGCUUUGCAUCUUUGGCGAGUCACUGGUGGUCAACUUGGUUUAGUAGUCGUGGCAUGUUAUGUAAUAGUUUAAUCUUUAACCUUCCGCUGGAUAAAUGUUAAGUUUUUAAAUGUAAUAGAUUUUAAUUAUGCUUUUAAGCUAAAAAGAAAAAGGAAAAAUUUCAGCACGGGUUUUCGAUACUGAAACGUGACAUCACUUAUUCGGUGGGUUACCUACCGGGUAAGGGGUGUUACAAGUUUUGGUAUCAGAGCCUAGGUUUAGGCGGUUCUGGAAAGAAGUGAUUCAGUAAAGUGUGUAGAAACAUGCCACAUAGGUUUAAUUGUCUGUUAGUACCAGUGACUCGAUGCAGCUGCUUAUGUCUAAAGUGGAAAGAAGUUAACAAGGUACGGGACAUAGUUUCCCGUGUGACCGAGAAAGAUGUUAUAUGGGACUGGCCACCCCAUAUAGCUCUAAUCUCGGUAGCGUCGGUAUGUGUAAAAGAUUUAAAAAAAAAAUUCAGGGAGGAUGGGUCUGAAAAUGUUGAUGAAAAGUAUGUCCUAAUGAAAGAUACUAAUAAAUAUAUGCAGAUUAUGAAAGAGUAUAAGUAAAAGAGAAGAAAAUGAGUUAAAGGAAUGAUAUGGAAAGAAAGUAAGUUAUAGACUAAGUGACCAUCAUGAUAUAAAAGUGUAACACGAAAAUUCACAAAGGUAUGUGGAUUGUCUGAUAUAAGAUGGAUUAAGAGUCAUAAAGUAAUAUCCUAUAAUGAUAAACAAAAGUAUAGAAAUAUGUGAAAGGAAAUGUGUUUGGCAAAAUGAUAAAUAUUGAUAUGAAAACAUAUGAAACUAUAAGGCAUUAUAUGAAUAAAACCAUAAAUGUGCGAAUGAGAAAAUGCGACGAAUAAGAAAUAAAUGAUAUGAUCUGAACAUGUGUGCCCCUAUAUGGAUUACAUGUGUACUUCGAAUCGGGCAAUAUGAGAUAUGACGUGAUGUGAUGGAAAUAUGAACUGAAUAAUCGUGCAAGACAAUAAAUUAUAUGAUUGGAAAUGUGAACUCCGUGAGAAUUAUGUGUGCGCUCGAAUACGAGCUAUAUAAAUGUUAGAACCGAAUGAUGAUUCAGAAAUGAAAUGGAAAAUGGGAAUGUAUGCUCUAAGCGAGCUGUAUAGUAUAUGAUAAGAUAUGUCUAAAAAUAUGAGUUUGAAAUUGAGCUAUAUGAUAUAAAAUGGUAUUCUGGUUGAAAGUGUUGUCUGUGAUCUGUAAAUGUGUUAGUUAUGGAUAAGAAUGAGUUUUGAAAAUAAAUAUGGUUGUUGAUGAAUACUGACUUGAUAUUUGAAUUAUGUUGUGAUUUGGUGGUUUGAUUUGAUAAUCUGUGAUUAACAUUGUAUCUUGUUGGUUUUGGGGAAGCACUGGUUAUAGAGAAAACGCUGCCCAAUUUUUGCUAGAAAUUGAUCAGAUAAAUUAAUACGAAGUUGUGGUAAAUAAACUGAUAAGUGAUAAUACAUGAAGAGAAUGAUGUUACAUGAUGACUUAAGAAAGGAAAAAGGGAAAAGAUAAGAAGUGUUGUGAAUGAUAAUAAAGGAAAACGUAAUGAAAUGAUGAUAUGUGGAAAGUGAAAUGCACCCUUCGUCGGCUAUAAGUGCCCGAAUAGGGACUAUGCAAUUGGGACUAUACAAUAUAUGAUGAGUAUGUGAAAUAUACAUAUGCGUGAUGAAUAUGAUAUGUGCGCCUCAUGUGGACAAAGAAAAGAUGCAAAUAACAUGGAAAUUACUAUGUAAAGAAAUGAUAAUGUGACAAAUGUGCUUGAAAUAUAUUAGAGAUAAUGAUAAUAUUAUUAUGUGAUCGCAAAAUGUUGCUAUGUGUUAAGAUGUGAUUAUGUGAUUUUGUAUGUCAUUCUGUGUUUGGUUAUGGAAGUGAGGAUACGCUAUGUAGAUGAGGAUAUAGGAUGUCGUGGAAUGGCAUACGUAUAUGCGACGCUUAUAGGAAUGAUGUAAACCCGAGGGAAUUUCGAGGACGAAAUUCCUUUUAGGGGGGAUGAGUUGUAACAUCCCGAAUUAUAGGCACCAAUAAAAGGUUUGGAUAUGUGGUGAGGAAUAGUAGUUAAGUUAAACCGUAAGGUAUAAAUUUGAUACGAAAUGCCGAUUAGUCAAUUUUCGGAAAUUUCUUUUGUCCGUGUAAAAUCAUAAAUCGAAGCUAAGGGGUAAUAAUUUUAUAAAUUACAAAUUAUGGCCUAGAAUAAUUGUUGAUAAUGUGAGGAAUUGUUUUGGGCCAUUUGAAGGUAAUUAAAAAAAUUUCUAUCGCCGAUAAUUUCAGUUUUUAACGAAAACGAUCGGCGAAACUUUUGAAGAUAUAGACAGGAAUAAUUUUGCCUUGAACUAGAAUUUAAAUGCUAAAUGAUGAUAUAAAGAGUUCCUAAAUGUGAUAUCAUAUGAUAGGGCAAUAAAAUGUUACAAGAUAAUUAAUUUAUUUAAAAACUAACUAAAUAAUUAAAUAAUGAUUAGAAUUCUCUAGAGAAUUCUUUUGUCUAUCAUCAACUCCAAACCCCCCCUCAUUUCAGCCACAAGCACGUCCUCCCCCUCUCCAUGGAAGACCAAAAGCUUAAGCUUUUUAAUUUCCAAAUAUUUGUCAUUUAAUCGGUAAAUCGAUCGGGGUAAUCUUGUAUCCGCCAGCAAAUCGAGCGAAGGAGCAUAUAGUGCGUUUUGAUCACAAAGGAGUGGAUUUAGAGGGUAGAGAAGUAUCAAGGUGAAAUAGGCUUAUGUUCAUAAGCCUGCGAGGUUAGAGUCGACAUUAUGUCAGUGGUGUUGCGCAGCUUUGCAUCUUUGGCGAGUCACUGGUGGUCAACUUGGUUUAGUAGUCGUGGCAUGUUAUGUAAUAGUUUAAUCUUUAACCUUCCGCUGGAUAAAUGUUAAGUUUUUAAAUGUAAUAGAUUUUAAUUAUGCUUUUAAGCUAAAAAGAAAAAGGAAAAAUUUCAGCACGGGUUUUCGAUACUGAAACGUGACAUCACUUAUUCGGUGGGUUACCUACCGGGUAAGGGGUGUUACAAGUUUUGGUAUCAGAGCCUAGGUUUAGGCGGUUCUGGAAAGAAGUGAUUCAGUAAAGUGUGUAGAAACAUGCCACAUAGGUUUAAUUGUCUGUUAGUACCAGUGACUCGAUGCAGCUGCUUAUGUCUAAAGUGGAAAGAAGUUAACAAGGUACGGGACAUAGUUUCCCGUGUGACCGAGAAAGAUGUUAUAUGGGACUGGCCACCCCAUAUAGCUCUAAUCUCGGUAGCGUCGGUAUGUGUAAAAGAUUUAAAAAAAAAAUUCAGGGAGGAUGGGUCUGAAAAUGUUGAUGAAAAGUAUGUCCUAAUGAAAGAUACUAAUAAAUAUAUGCAGAUUAUGAAAGAGUAUAAGUAAAAGAGAAGAAAAUGAGUUAAAGGAAUGAUAUGGAAAGAAAGUAAGUUAUAGACUAAGUGACCAUCAUGAUAUAAAAGUGUAACACGAAAAUUCACAAAGGUAUGUGGAUUGUCUGAUAUAAGAUGGAUUAAGAGUCAUAAAGUAAUAUCCUAUAAUGAUAAACAAAAGUAUAGAAAUAUGUGAAAGGAAAUGUGUUUGGCAAAAUGAUAAAUAUUGAUAUGAAAACAUAUGAAACUAUAAGGCAUUAUAUGAAUAAAACCAUAAAUGUGCGAAUGAGAAAAUGCGACGAAUAAGAAAUAAAUGAUAUGAUCUGAACAUGUGUGCCCCUAUAUGGAUUACAUGUGUACUUCGAAUCGGGCAAUAUGAGAUAUGACGUGAUGUGAUGGAAAUAUGAACUGAAUAAUCGUGCAAGACAAUAAAUUAUAUGAUUGGAAAUGUGAACUCCGUGAGAAUUAUGUGUGCGCUCGAAUACGAGCUAUAUAAAUGUUAGAACCGAAUGAUGAUUCAGAAAUGAAAUGGAAAAUGGGAAUGUAUGCUCUAAGCGAGCUGUAUAGUAUAUGAUAAGAUAUGUCUAAAAAUAUGAGUUUGAAAUUGAGCUAUAUGAUAUAAAAUGGUAUUCUGGUUGAAAGUGUUGUCUGUGAUCUGUAAAUGUGUUAGUUAUGGAUAAGAAUGAGUUUUGAAAAUAAAUAUGGUUGUUGAUGAAUACUGACUUGAUAUUUGAAUUAUGUUGUGAUUUGGUGGUUUGAUUUGAUAAUCUGUGAUUAACAUUGUAUCUUGUUGGUUUUGGGGAAGCACUGGUUAUAGAGAAAACGCUGCCCAAUUUUUGCUAGAAAUUGAUCAGAUAAAUUAAUACGAAGUUGUGGUAAAUAAACUGAUAAGUGAUAAUACAUGAAGAGAAUGAUGUUACAUGAUGACUUAAGAAAGGAAAAAGGGAAAAGAUAAGAAGUGUUGUGAAUGAUAAUAAAGGAAAACGUAAUGAAAUGAUGAUAUGUGGAAAGUGAAAUGCACCCUUCGUCGGCUAUAAGUGCCCGAAUAGGGACUAUGCAAUUGGGACUAUACAAUAUAUGAUGAGUAUGUGAAAUAUACAUAUGCGUGAUGAAUAUGAUAUGUGCGCCUCAUGUGGACAAAGAAAAGAUGCAAAUAACAUGGAAAUUACUAUGUAAAGAAAUGAUAAUGUGACAAAUGUGCUUGAAAUAUAUUAGAGAUAAUGAUAAUAUUAUUAUGUGAUCGCAAAAUGUUGCUAUGUGUUAAGAUGUGAUUAUGUGAUUUUGUAUGUCAUUCUGUGUUUGGUUAUGGAAGUGAGGAUACGCUAUGUAGAUGAGGAUAUAGGAUGUCGUGGAAUGGCAUACGUAUAUGCGACGCUUAUAGGAAUGAUGUAAACCCGAGGGAAUUUCGAGGACGAAAUUCCUUUUAGGGGGGAUGAGUUGUAACAUCCCGAAUUAUAGGCACCAAUAAAAGGUUUGGAUAUGUGGUGAGGAAUAGUAGUUAAGUUAAACCGUAAGGUAUAAAUUUGAUACGAAAUGCCGAUUAGUCAAUUUUCGGAAAUUUCUUUUGUCCGUGUAAAAUCAUAAAUCGAAGCUAAGGGGUAAUAAUUUUAUAAAUUACAAAUUAUGGCCUAGAAUAAUUGUUGAUAAUGUGAGGAAUUGUUUUGGGCCAUUUGAAGGUAAUUAAAAAAAUUUCUAUCGCCGAUAAUUUCAGUUUUUAACGAAAACGAUCGGCGAAACUUUUGAAGAUAUAGACAGGAAUAAUUUUGCCUUGAACUAGAAUUUAAAUGCUAAAUGAUGAUAUAAAGAGUUCCUAAAUGUGAUAUCAUAUGAUAGGGCAAUAAAAUGUUACAAGAUAAUUAAUUUAUUUAAAAACUAACUAAAUAAUUAAAUAAUGAUUAGAAUUCUCUAGAGAAUUCUUUUGUCUAUCAUCAACUCCAAACCCCCCCUCAUUUCAGCCACAAGCACGUCCUCCCCCUCUCCAUGGAAGACCAAAAGCUUAAGCUUUUUAAUUUCCAAAUAUUUGUCAUUUAAUCGGUAAAUCGAUCGGGUAAUCUUGUAUCCGCCAGCAAAUCGAGCGAAGGAGCAUAUAGUGCGUUUUGAUCACAAAGGAGUGGAUUUAGAGGGUAGAGAAGUAUCAAGGUGAAAUAGGCUUAUGUUCAUAAGCCUGCGAGGUUAGAGUCGACAUUAUGUCAGUGGUGUUGCGCAGCUUUGCAUCUUUGGCGAGUCACUGGUGGUCAACUUGGUUUAGUAGUCGUGGCAUGUUAUGUAAUAGUUUAAUCUUUAACCUUCCGCUGGAUAAAUGUUAAGUUUUUAAAUGUAAUAGAUUUUAAUUAUGCUUUUAAGCUAAAAAGAAAAAGGAAAAAUUUCAGCACGGGUUUUCGAUACUGAAACGUGACAUCACUUAUUCGGUGGGUUACCUACCGGGUAAGGGGUGUUACAAGUUUUGGUAUCAGAGCCUAGGUUUAGGCGGUUCUGGAAAGAAGUGAUUCAGUAAAGUGUGUAGAAACAUGCCACAUAGGUUUAAUUGUCUGUUAGUACCAGUGACUCGAUGCAGCUGCUUAUGUCUAAAGUGGAAAGAAGUUAACAAGGUACGGGACAUAGUUUCCCGUGUGACCGAGAAAGAUGUUAUAUGGGACUGGCCACCCCAUAUAGCUCUAAUCUCGGUAGCGUCGGUAUGUGUAAAAGAUUUUAAAAAAAAAAUUCAGGGAGGAUGGGUCUGAAAAUGUUGAUGAAAAGUAUGUCCUAAUGAAAGAUACUAAUAAAUAUAUGCAGAUUAUGAAAGAGUAUAAGUAAAAGAGAAGAAAAUGAGUUAAAGGAAUGAUAUGGAAAGAAAGUAAGUUAUAGACUAAGUGACCAUCAUGAUAUAAAAGUGUAACACGAAAAUUCACAAAGGUAUGUGGAUUGUCUGAUAUAAGAUGGAUUAAGAGUCAUAAAGUAAUAUCCUAUAAUGAUAAACAAAAGUAUAGAAAUAUGUGAAAGGAAAUGUGUUUGGCAAAAUGAUAAAUAUUGAUAUGAAAACAUAUGAAACUAUAAGGCAUUAUAUGAAUAAAACCAUAAAUGUGCGAAUGAGAAAAUGCGACGAAUAAGAAAUAAAUGAUAUGAUCUGAACAUGUGUGCCCCUAUAUGGAUUACAUGUGUACUUCGAAUCGGGCAAUAUGAGAUAUGACGUGAUGUGAUGGAAAUAUGAACUGAAUAAUCGUGCAAGACAAUAAAUUAUAUGAUUGGAAAUGUGAACUCCGUGAGAAUUAUGUGUGCGCUCGAAUACGAGCUAUAUAAAUGUUAGAACCGAAUGAUGAUUCAGAAAUGAAAUGGAAAAUGGGAAUGUAUGCUCUAAGCGAGCUGUAUAGUAUAUGAUAAGAUAUGUCUAAAAAUAUGAGUUUGAAAUUGAGCUAUAUGAUAUAAAAUGGUAUUCUGGUUGAAAGUGUUGUCUGUGAUCUGUAAAUGUGUUAGUUAUGGAUAAGAAUGAGUUUUGAAAAUAAAUAUGGUUGUUGAUGAAUACUGACUUGAUAUUUGAAUUAUGUUGUGAUUUGGUGGUUUGAUUUGAUAAUCUGUGAUUAACAUUGUAUCUUGUUGGUUUUGGGGAAGCACUGGUUAUAGAGAAAACGCUGCCCAAUUUUUGCUAGAAAUUGAUCAGAUAAAUUAAUACGAAGUUGUGGUAAAUAAACUGAUAAGUGAUAAUACAUGAAGAGAAUGAUGUUACAUGAUGACUUAAGAAAGGAAAAAGGGAAAAGAUAAGAAGUGUUGUGAAUGAUAAUAAAGGAAAACGUAAUGAAAUGAUGAUAUGUGGAAAGUGAAAUGCACCCUUCGUCGGCUAUAAGUGCCCGAAUAGGGACUAUGCAAUUGGGACUAUACAAUAUAUGAUGAGUAUGUGAAAUAUACAUAUGCGUGAUGAAUAUGAUAUGUGCGCCUCAUGUGGACAAAGAAAAGAUGCAAAUAACAUGGAAAUUACUAUGUAAAGAAAUGAUAAUGUGACAAAUGUGCUUGAAAUAUAUUAGAGAUAAUGAUAAUAUUAUUAUGUGAUCGCAAAAUGUUGCUAUGUGUUAAGAUGUGAUUAUGUGAUUUUGUAUGUCAUUCUGUGUUUGGUUAUGGAAGUGAGGAUACGCUAUGUAGAUGAGGAUAUAGGAUGUCGUGGAAUGGCAUACGUAUAUGCGACGCUUAUAGGAAUGAUGUAAACCCGAGGGAAUUUCGAGGACGAAAUUCCUUUUAGGGGGGAUGAGUUGUAACAUCCCGAAUUAUAGGCACCAAUAAAAGGUUUGGAUAUGUGGUGAGGAAUAAUAGUUAAGUUAAACCGUAAGGUAUAAAUUUGAUACGAAAUGCCGAUUAGUCAAUUUUCGGAAAUUUCUUUUGUCCGUGUAAAAUCAUAAAUCGAAGCUAAGGGGUAAUAAUUUUAUAAAUUACAAAUUAUGGCCUAGAAUAAUUGUUGAUAAUGUGAGGAAUUGUUUUGGGCCAUUUGAAGGUAAUUAAAAAAAUUUCUAUCGCCGAUAAUUUCAGUUUUUAACGAAAACGAUCGGCGAAACUUUUGAAGAUAUAGACAGGAAUAAUUUUGCCUUGAACUAGAAUUUAAAUGCUAAAUGAUGAUAUAAAGAGUUCCUAAAUGUGAUAUCAUAUGAUAGGGCAAUAAAAUGUUACAAGAUAAUUAAUUUAUUUAAAAACUAACUAAAUAAUUAAAUAAUGAUUAGAAUUCUCUAGAGAAUUCUUUUGUCUAUCAUCAACUCCAAACCCCCCCUCAUUUCAGCCACAAGCACGUCCUCCCCCUCUCCAUGGAAGACCAAAAGCUUAAGCUUUUUAAUUUCCAAAUAUUUGUCAUUUAAUCGGUAAAUCGAUCGGGUAAUCUUGUAUCCGCCAGCAAAUCGAGGUAGCCCUUUCUUCCUAUUCUAUUUUUAUACCUUGAACUUGAGUAUAUGUUGAUGUUGAAGGGCUGAAAUUUCAUUCACUCGGGGGUAGGAAAACUAACCGAUUAAAUUUCGAUAUAUUGACGUUUACGCGAUCAUAGGCCUUCAUUUGUCGUUGUUUGAUAUUUGAAUUAGAAGUUUGAUUACAUGGAUGUGAUUUUGGAUGAAUAUUGAACAGGGGGGGAGCUGAAUUGAUGAUAUUUUAUGUUGAACGGUCCCCGCUCGGGGUAAUUAACACGGAAGAAUAGUAUACGAAAAUAAAUGGUUAGAGUCGACAUUAUGUCAGUGGUGUUGCGCAGCUUUGCAUCUUUGGCGAGUCACUGGUGGUCAACUUGGUUUAGUAGUCGUGGCAUGUUAUGUAAUAGUUUAAUCUUUAACCUUCCGCUGGAUAAAUGUUAAGUUUUUAAAUGUAAUAGAUUUUAAUUAUGCUUUUAAGCUAAAAAGAAAAAGGAAAAAUUUCAGCA